GACGAACGCUGGCGGCGUGCUUAACACAUGCAAGUCGAACGGAAAGGCCCUGCUUUUGUGGGGUGCUCGAGUGGCGAACGGGUGAGUAACACGUGAGUAACCUGCCCUUGACUUUGGGAUAACUUCAGGAAACUGGGGCUAAUACCGGAUAGGAGCUCCUGCUGCAUGGUGGGGGUUGGAAAGUUUCGGCGGUUGGGGAUGGACUCGCGGCUUAUCAGCUUGUUGGUGGGGUAGUGGCUUACCAAGGCUUUGACGGGUAGCCGGCCUGAGAGGGUGACCGGCCACAUUGGGACUGAGAUACGGCCCAGACUCCUACGGGAGGCAGCAGUGGGGAAUAUUGCCCAAUGGGCGGAAGCCUGAUGCAGCAACGCCGCGUGCGGGAUGACGGCCUUCGGGCUGUAAACCGCUUUCGCCUGUGACGAAGCGUGAGUGACGGUAAUGGGUAAAGAAGCACCGGCUAACUACGUG
rnacentral:rRNA from 1 species